rnacentral:rRNA from 1 species
UACGUAGGGUGCAAGCGUUAAUCGGAAUUACUGGGCGUAAAGCGUGCGUAGGCGGUUUGUUAAGACAGGUGUGAAAUCCCCGGGCUUAACCUGGGAACUGCGCUUGUUACUGGCAGACUGGAGUGUGGCAGAGGGGGGUGGAAUUCCAGGUGUAGCAGUGAAAUGCGUAGAUAUCUGGAGGAACACCGAUGGCGAAGGCAGCCCCCUGGGCUAACACUGACGCUGAUGCACGAAAGCGUGGGGAGCAAACAGG